GGUUAACGCUGGCGGCGUGCCUAACACAUGCAAGUCGAGCGAGGGCUCUUUUCCCGCAAGGGAAGGGAGUUCCUAGCGGCGAACGGGUGAGUAACACGUGGGCAACCUGUCCUCUCGCGGGGGAUAACACCGGGAAACCGGUGCUAAUACCGCAUGUCAUCGUCGAUCGCAUGGUUGGCGAGAAAAGCAGCAAUGCACGAGAGGGUGGGCCCGCGGCCUAUCAGCUAGUUGGUGGGGUAACGGCCUACCAAGGCUAUGACGGGUAGCUGGUCUGAGA
rnacentral:rRNA from 1 species